GCUGGAGCAAGAAGAUCUCAAGCUGUGAGUCUACAAAGGAAAGCGCUUUCUGUUGUCUGAAAGAAAAGAAAUCGCUUCCCUUUGGAGUGUUACGGUUUGAGAAAAGCAGCGUUGAAGUU
rnacentral:precursor_RNA from 1 species